CUGGUCUAGAACUCCUGGCCUCAAGUCAUCCACCCACCUCAGCCUCACAAAGUGCUGGGAUUACAGGUGUGAGCCAACAUGCCCGGUCUGUAAGUAUACUAUUAAAUGUUUGUAAUUUAAACAAACUACCCAACUAUCAAAUGCUGAAUCUCUAUAGAACUGCAUGUCCAUAGUGGAAAGUGUGAGUUGCCUUCCCGCAACCUAUCACUCUUGUCUUUCUUCCUAACUGAAGGUAACCCCUCUUUCUGACCCCAUCCACGUGCCUCUGGGGACCUGACCCCUCAAUCUGGCACCAGCAUGAGUUUGAUUUGUACCAAGGUAAUCCCAUUUCCUCAUCCAGCUCCCAACUCUGAUUAAUAAGGUGGGAGGGGAAUUCUGCUAUGGAAUUCCAGGAAAAUGUUCCUUUCUCCCGAGGGACAGCCGAGAAAGAAGGAAACAGUUCUGUGAAUAUUUCCGUAACUCUAUGGAGCUCCUGGAACUUCUGCCACCCUCUUGCUACCAACCUGUAGAGGAAACCAUCACGAACUUCAACAGAGAAACUGAGAACCUCAGCCCCUGUUGUCGUGGUUCAGCCACUGAGUCAACACACUCGGGGACCCACUUGAUAACUCAAUCAACUUGGAUAUUUCUCACCAUUGACUUAAGAAAGCAGAGCAGACACUGUGCUGGGGACUUUGAGCAAUGCAGAGGAAUGGAGAAUGCCCCCCAAGAACUUAGAAGAGAUGGACAUUUGCAUUAUUCUCUGUAAUGACUGCACAGUGUGGUUGUGUUUGCUCCAGGUUAUCGGCAUUGUGCCUGCACUGAAUAAAAACAAGCAGCUCCAACUUCUCAGGGCUGCUCUCUGGCCACUAGAGCCAGGCAGUCACCUAGCUGCUGUUAUGCUGCAUACCUGUCUCUGAGUACUCGCUUCAUCCAUCGGCCAGGGUCUGUGGGACAGACCAGGCAGGUGGUGCCCCAUGUGAGGAACGCUGCAAUGGAUUGCAAGGGAACCCCUGAAAACAAAUGUGAAGUGACUGAGCAGUGUUAACCUUAGAAGACUAGAACCUAAUGAGUUAUGGCAAACAGAUGUUAUGCACGUCCCUGAAUUUGGAAAACUAAGGUCCUCUUUGGAUUCCAGCACGAGGCAUCAAACCAUACCAUGGCAUGGCUAGGACCCAACCCGGUACCAAAAUGAAGAAAAUGACCCUACAGGACCCACAAUCCCGGAUGAUGUGGCUUCCUUGGAUGACACAGGCCCUGGACAUUACCUGGGGGAUGCUGAAGAAGACAACUCAGGAGGCCAAGCAAAUCCUGCUCCAGGCACAGACACCAUUCACUCCAGGAAGCUGCCAUUCAUUCGACAUAAGUAGGUGCUUCAUCUGAUAAGCGCUGCUUGUGUAAUUUAUCAAUGACAGAGAAGGCAGAUAGCAGCAUGCAUACUUGGGGCUGCAUUUGAAGGAGAGCAACAUCCCUUUGUUUUCACAGAGGAGAACAAGCAUGAGUUGAGAUUGUGGUGCUUCUUGAAGUCUCAUCCAGAUCAGAAACCUGCUGCUCUGUCCACAUUCCAUCCACCAAAGCAACCCAUAUGGCCAUGUCCAGCAUCAGAUGGGGAAAGGCAGUUCUCCUCUAGCACGAGGAGCUGCAAAGCCACAUGGCAAAGGAUGAGUGUGUAAAAAAUAAAUGCAGGAGGGCAGGAGGCAUUGGGAACAAUGAUCCAAUCUACUGCAGUGUGUUAUUCUCUCCAGCUUGGCAUGCGUUCCGUUCCCUGUGUACAGCAUCCUGCAGUGACAGGAGCUCACGCUGGUCCUUUAAUAUGGGCCAGAUACUGUGCUAAGCACAGCACAUGGUUUAUCUUGGUGUAGCCUCACAGCAACAUUGGAGCAAAGCACAGU
rnacentral:lncRNA from 10 species